rnacentral:ncRNA from 1 species
UCACUUAAUGUUCUAUUUCAUACACAGUAAUUCCCUGACACGAUGUCAGGGAAAGGCUUCCACCCGACAGGAGGUCGGAUUGGGAGCCGGUUACGUCAAAUGCCAAUCACACCAAUAUAGAACAUUUAGAAAUUCUUAUAGUCGAAGU